AAAGAUUAAGCCAUGCAUGUGUAAGCACAUGCCUUAAAACGGUAAAGCCGCGAAUGGCUCGGUAUAACAGCCACUGUUUAUUAAACUCUAGUUAUCUACUUGGAUAACUGUGGCAAUUCUAGAGCUAAUACAUGCACGCAGGCUCGGACCUUUUGGGAAGAGCGCAUUUAUUAGACCAAAACCAAUCGGGCUUCGGCCUGUGUUUUGGUGACUCUGAAUAACUAAGUCGAUCGCACAGUCUUAGUACUGGCGACGUAUUUUUCAAAUGUCUGCCUUAUCAACUUUCGAUGGUAGGUUAUACGCCUACCAUGGUUAUAACGGGUAACGGAGAAUUAGGGUUCGACUCCGGAGAGGGAGCCUGAGAAAUGGCUACCACAUCCAAGGAAGGCAGCAGGCGCGCAAAUUACCCAAUCCCAGAACGGGGAGGUAGUGACGAAAAAUAACGAGGUAAUCCACUUUGUGGCUUGCCAUCGGAAUGGGCACAAUAUAAAUCUUUUAACGAGGAUCUAUUAGAGGGCAAGUCUGGUGCCAGCAGCCGCGGUAAUUCCAGCUCUAAUAGUGUAUAUUAAAAUUGUUGUGGUUAAAACGCCCGUAGUUGGAUCUUCGGUCUUGAAGCUCGGUAGCCCGUAAGGGUUUAACUGAGUCUUCUGGCCUCGAUUCUAGUUUUCUCCUGAUGCUCUUUAUUGAGUGUCUUGAGUAGCUAGGGAUUUUACUUUGAAAAAAUUAGGGUGCUAAAAGCAGGCUAUACGCUUGAAUAAGUGCAUGGAAUAAUGGAAUACGACUUUAGUCUUAUUUUGUUGGUUUUCGAGAUUAAAGUAAUGAUUAAGAGGAACAGCCGGGGGCAUUUGUAUUGUUGCGUUAGAGGUGAAAUUCUUGGAUCGCAGCAAGACAAACAACUGCGAAAGCAUUUGCCAAGAAUG
rnacentral:rRNA from 1 species